GUCAGGAUGAACGCCUGGCGGCGUGCCUAACACAUGCAAGUCGAGCGAUUCUCUUCGGAGAAGAGCGGCGGACGGGUGAGUAACGCGUGGGUAACCUGGCCUCAUACACAUGGAUAACAUACCGAAAGGUAUGCUAAUACAGGAUAAUAUAAGAGAUUCACAUGGAUUUCUUAUCAAAGCUCCGGCGGUAUGAGAUGGACCCGCGUCCGAUUAGCUAGUUGGUAAGGUAACGGCUUACCAAGGCGACGAUCAGUAGCCGACCUGAGAGGGUGAUCGGCCACAUUGGAACUGAGACACGGUCCAAACUCCUACGGGAGGCAGCAGUGGGGAAUAUUGCACAAUGGGCGAAAGCCUGAUGCCAGCAACGCCGCGUGAGUGAUGAAGGCCUUCGGGUACGUAAAACUCUGUCCUCAAGGAAGAUAAUGACGGUACUUGAGGAGGAACGCCCCGGCUAACUACGUGCCAGCCGCUGC
rnacentral:rRNA from 1 species